rnacentral:rRNA from 1 species
UACGGAGGGUGCAAGCGUUAUCCGGAUUUACUGGGUUUAAAGGGUGUGUAGGCGGGUCUUUAAGGCAGUGGUGAAAUCUCCGAGCUCAACUUGGAAACUGCCAUUGAUACUAUUGAUCUUGAAUUUUGUUGAGGUAGGCGGAAUAAGUCAUGUAGCGGUGAAAUGCAUGGAUAUGACUUAGAACACCAAUUGCGAAGGCAGCUUGCUAAACAAAUAUUGACGCUGAGGCACGAAAGCGUGGGGAUCAAACAGG